GAUGAACGCUGGCGGCGUGCCUAAUACAUGCAAGUCGAGCGAACGGACGAGAAGCUUGCUUCUCUGAUGUUAGCGGCGGACGGGUGCGUAACACGUGGAUAACCUACCUAUAAGACUGGGAUAACUUCGGGAAACCGGAUCUACUACCGGAUAAUAUUUUGAACCGCAUGGUUCACGAGUUAAAGACGGUCUUGCUGUCACUUAUAGAUUGAUCCGCGCUGCAUUAGCUAGUUGGUAAGGUAACGGCUUACCAAGGCAACGAUGCAUAGCCGACCUGAGAGGGUGAUCGGCCACACUGGAACUGAGACACGGUCCAGACUCCUACGGGAGGCAGCAGUAGGGAAUCUUCCGCAAUGGGCGAAAGCCUGACGGAGCAACGCCGCGUGAGUGAUGAAGGUCUUCGGAUCGUAAAACUCUGUUAUUAGGGAAGAACAUAUGUGUAAGUAACUGUGCACAUCUUGACGGUACCUAAUCAGAAAGCCACGGCUAACUACGUG
rnacentral:rRNA from 1 species